CCGGGUCCAUUUCAAUCAUGGAUCGGUUAGCCUCGUGACUCACUCAGCUGAGCUGAGCGGCGAUUCGAGGCGUGUGAUGUUGAUGGGGUACGCGCUAGCCAUUUGGAGCUGCUGGUCUCUUUCCUCAGGACUGUCAAAGACCGAGUAUGUCCCAUGAGCUGACUGAACAAAGGAUCACUGGAUUGUUGUGUCAUAAACUCAUAAUAACUCGCAUGUCGGCGUGAAGCCGAAGGAAAACACUCGCAUGUGCAGAUGUGCUGGACUGCUUGUCUCUGGCUGAAUAACUAUCUUUGCUUGCCCUGCGACGCAUGCAUGCUUAAUUCGGUUUCCACAGAGGCAGGACGUGCAUGUGCCCCCA